AUGAAAACCACAGCAGAGAAGAAGAAGAUGAGCCCCGGGCUAGUGUCAGUCAUGGUCUUCCCAGCACACACCUGUCACCAGGUUGAACGUUACGGUCCCCAGCACCAUAGCCAGAAGCACCCUUGUGAUUAUGCCGCUGCUUGUGGUGUAAGCCCCGAGGACCCAGCGUUCUGGCCAGACACGUGACUUCACACAGCCAACCUUCAAGAUAUUUGCUGACUCCAUGUUCUGUGAAGAACCAGAGCCAGGCAAUACACAGAAGAUCUGCCAGCCCUGCAGCAGUUAUGGGUAACCUUGUUGCCCUGAAGUCUUGCUCUGUGCCUGUGAGACUCUAGGGCUGUUUAGCACACAUUGUCCUCACUGUCUGUUAUAGUUUAAGUAUAAAAUGUCCAGAGUUCCAUGUGCUUGAAUAGCUGCCCCCCCCCUUCUGGGGACCUUAUAAAUACUUCUAGACUUAGAGCCUAGCAGGCCGAGGUGGGUGUGCCCUUGAUGGUUGUAACCAGACCUGCUCCAGUGCUCUCCUGUCUCCUACUUGCCAUGAUGAAACAUUCAGGUGCCAUGUCUUCCCACCAUGAAGUAUUUCCUGAAAGUGUGAGCCAAAGCAGACCUUUCUUUCCCCCGUGGACUUUUCCUCUGUCAAGUACUCUGUCACAGUGCUGAGGUACCAAUGACUUCUCACAAAGGCCAUGUCUGCCAAAGACCAAGCACACUGGAGCAACCCCUGGACCCUCAGGCUCCUUGACCAGUUACUAGUGAGAGAGUUCAGAUACCUUCAGGCUUUCAGAAACUACAGCACUUGAGACAGUGCCAACAAUACAGCCAGAGUGGAGACGUGAGCUGUGGGGUAAGAGGACACUGGGCACCAUGUGAAGACCUGUCUGCACACAGCCUCUGAGAAGUCCCCUAGCCACCCACCUCCGUCCUGGCAUCCUCCAAACACAGGAAUCAACUGAAAACCAAGCAUCCGGGCAUGCCAGCGUGGGGUUUUCUUGGUUGCAUCGUUCCAGGUGGGAAGAGCUGUCCCAAUCCAGGCCACACCUUCUAGUGGCAUCACACAUAAAGACCACAGAAGAAGGGAGCUUUUGCUUUUUGCCUGUUAGCACGCGUUCUCCUUUGCAUAUUCAUCUGUCCUGUUGAUGAGACAGACAUUCCUUCUAUGGUAUCAGAGCCGACUUCUUCGGGAUUCCAGCAGAUGUAAGACCAACAGUUAUCUUGGAAUCUUCCAUGGCUCCAGCUCUAGAUUGGGACUGCAGAGACGUUCAGUUUCACAGACUAAGCGACUACUGGACUCUUGGUCUUUCUGUCAGGAGACAGCUACUGUUGGACUGUCCAGAGCACAGCCUGUAAAAUGUUCUAAAUCUCAUAUAUAUGUACACAUUGCACUUGUGUGUGUGUGUAUACAUGUGUUUUCAUUCAGUCCACUAGUUUUGUUUUCUACAGUACCCUGACUAAAAC
rnacentral:lncRNA from 1 species